rnacentral:rRNA from 1 species
AGCAGCCGCGGCAAUUCCAGCUCCAAUAGCGUAUAUUAAAGUUGCUGCAGUUAAAAAGCUCGUAGUUGAAUUUCGGGAUCGAUAUAUCGGUCGUGCCUCGGUACGUACUGGUAUUUUCGGUUUCUACCUUCUGACGAACCUUGAUGUCAUUAAUUUGGUGUCUUGGGGAAUCAGGACUGUUACUUUGAAAAAUUGAGUGUUUAAAGCAGGCUCACGCUUGAAUACAUUAGCAUGGAAUAAUGAAGUAGGACGUUUGAUUCUAUUUGUUGGUUUCUAGGAUCGACGUAAUGAUUAAGUAGGGGUAGUUGGGGGC